UCAACGAUGGAAAUCCGGGAUGAAAGUUUGAGAGACUGCAACGGGCUGUAGGAUGCUUCUGAUCCUGCGAAAUAGCGUCAGGGCACACUCGCCGCGAUACUUGUGCGCCGUGCGGUGAGCACUUGACAAGGCUCUUGGGUUUUCGCCCACCGGGAUUGGAGUGGACGUUCACCAUACGGCCUGAAUUGAUGCCCCUCCUGAACAUAACGGCGAAAUCGAUAGCUCGAGCACUCGUCACACUCUGGAUUAGCCACUGCUGUGUCCCUUCCACCAUUACGGCUGACCAUGGUCGUCAAUUCGACUCGGCGUUGCUCGCAAGCCUAUCUCGCCUACUCGGCAUACAAGGAAGCCACCUUCCCGCCACCGUUGCAGCCAUCCUGGAUACCGACGCCUUCAAAACCAGCAUUCAUGAAACGCCACAUUGAAUCUGUCUUUGUAUAUUGCACAAAUGUUUUGUUAUGUUCACCCACUCCUUUCUGUAAUGCCUUCGGGCCCUGAAAGUAUCUUAAAUAAAUAAAUAAAUAAAUAAAUAAAUAAAUUACACUUUCCGCGUUACGGGACUGCGGUGCUAGCCAAAGAAUGCUUACGAAUUAUUAAGUAUAUAACCUGAAGUAUGUCUGCCUUUGAGCGUGUUCACACUGACCGUUACUCAUCAGAUAUAUGGUCAUAUUACUUGAGUAUAGUCGUAACAUACUGGCGUGAUUACUUUCACAUCCAUUAUUGAACAAUGAGCCAUUACAACGUGUCCCUGCUGCCACAACCAUUCUCAAAGAUCUGCACUGCGUUGCUAGAGCAGGUCAACGAUAAAUUUAAGGAAAGCUUUGAGGCUCAUUGGUUACCCAGGAACAUCGCAUAUAGGGUUCAAGAUUUUGAUUUUGGAAAUGCUGUUUUUUAUUUAAUACGACCUUGUCAAGCACGAAUGUUCAAAUAUUUUUACCUCAUAUAAUCAAUGGCCGCCUACGAAGCAGCGGUCCUAUCUGAAAAAAAAAUCUAAUAAGCACUGAUAUCGGGCUU